CCUUGCCAGUCGCCGUGAGGGCAGCAGUCAGGCUGCCUUCGGCGGCAUGCCUGCGGGAAGUCCGCCAGUCCCGCAGCAAUUUGACGGAGCAUCUGAAUGAGAACAGGACACUUGGCUGGCACACAAGAAGAGGAAGGGUGCUCUAAACUUAAGCAUGGAAGAAGGGGCAAAUACAAGAAUGCGUGGAGAAUGUAACAAGGAGGACACUAAUGAAGACACAAAUCUUUCAAUCUGGGGAUGAAUGUUUGACAAGGACACUUGGAGCAUCAUCUUUCGCGUGCUCAG